rnacentral:lncRNA from 1 species
AAUAAUAAUUCAUAAUAAUAAUAAUAAUAUAUACAAGAAUAAUUUUUUUUUUUUUUGUAGUUAAUUACUUUCGCAUACUGACCGUCCCUAAAAUAAGUGGCAAAAGACUGAAUGGUUAGUAUCCGAGACUCAAAUUCGAAUUCUAUUUGAUUCACAUUUCCAGCUAAAUUUAUUUCUAAAUAAAAUAAACGAAGCGGGUAGCGUGCUACCUAUCUCUUACAAAAAUUAAAAAAAAACUUUUGCAUCGUUUCCCAUCCUGAAAUGUAUCUAAAUUAACGAUCGGUGCAGUUUAAUAUAAUUUGAACUAUUUAAAUAUUGUAAAAAUUAAAUUUCCUCACUUUUUAGCAUUGUUAAUCUAGUGAUUAAAUGGUAUCAUAUUCAAUUUAUAGAAAUUUAACCAACGUAGAUCAAAUUUAACAGUGUUUAUCGUCGAAAACGGCACAGAAGUA